rnacentral:tRNA from 1 species
GGCAAUAUGGCCGAGCGGUUAUGGCGUGUGACUCAAGCGAAAGCUUGCCUCUUCGAGGUUUCUCAUGGGAGUAUUCCCGCGUGGGUUCGAAUCCCACUGUUGUCA